rnacentral:rRNA from 1 species
AGCGAACGCUGGCGGCAGGCUUAACACAUGCAAGUCGAGCGGGCGUAGCAAUACGUCAGCGGCAGACGGGUGAGUAACGCGUGGGAACGUACCUUUUGGUUCGGAACAACACAGGGAAACUUGUGCUAAUACCGGAUAAGCCCUUACGGGGAAAGAUUUAUCGCCGAAAGAUCGGCCCGCGUCUGAUUAGCUAGUUGGUGAGGUAACGGCUCACCAAGGCGACGAUCAGUAGCUGGUCUGAGAGGAUGAUCAGCCACAUUGGGACUGAGACACGGCCCAGACUCCUACGGGAGGCAGCAGUGGGGAAUCUUGCGCAAUGGGCGAAAGCCUGACGCAGCGACGCCGCGUGGGGGAUGACGGCCU